rnacentral:rRNA from 1 species
CCUACGGGAGGCAGCAGUGAGGAAUAUUGGUCAAUGGACGCAAGUCUGAACCAGCCAUGCCGCGUGCAGGAUGACGGCUCUAUGAGUUGUAAACUGCUUUUGUACGAGGGUAAACGCAGAUACGCGUAUCUUUCUGCAUGUAUCUUACGAAUAAGGAUCGGCUAACUCCGUGCCAGCAGCCGCGGUAAUACGGAGGAUUCAAGCGUUAUCCGGAUUUAUUGGGUUUAAAGGGUGCGUAGACGGUCGGUUAAGUUAGAGGUGAAAUCCCGAGGCUCAACUUCGGAAUUGCCUCUGAUACUGUCAGGCUAGAGAGUAGUUGAGGUAGGCGGAAUGUAUGGUGUAGCGGUGAAAUGCUUAGAGAUCAUAAAGAACACCGAUUGCGAAGGCAGCUUACCAAGCUACGUCUGACGUUGAGGCACGAAAGCGUGGGGAGCAAACAGGAUUAGAUACCCUUGUAGUC